ACCGCCAGCUAAGGUCCCAAAGUCAUGGUUAAGUGGGAAACGAUGUGGGAAGGCCCAGACAGCCAGGAUGUUGGCUUAGAAGCAGCCAUCAUUUAAAGAAAGCGUAAUAGCUCACUGGUCGAGUCGGCCUGCGCGGAAGAUGUAACGGGGCUAAACCAUGCACCGAAGCUGCGGCAGCGACGCUUAUGCGUUGUUGGGUAGGGGAGCGUUCUGUAAGCCUGUGAAGGUGUGCUGUGAGGUAUGCUGGAGGUAUCAGAAGUGCGAAUGCUGACAUAAGUAACGAUAAAGCGGGUGAAAAGCCCGCUCGCCGGAAGACCAAGGGUUCCUGUCCAACGUUAAUCGGGGCAGGGUGAGUCGACCCCUAAGGCGAGGCCGAAAGGCGUAGUCGAUGGGAAACAGGUUAAUAUUCCUGUACUUGGUGUUACUGCGAAGGGGGGACGGAGAAGGCUAUGUUGGCCGGGCGACGGUUGUCCCGGUU
rnacentral:rRNA from 1 species